rnacentral:rRNA from 3 species
UAAGGUCACGGCGAGACGAGCCGUUUAUCAUUACGAUAGGUGUCAAGUGGAAGUGCAGUGAUGCAUGCAGCUGAGGCAUCCUAACAGACCGAUAGAUUUGAAC